rnacentral:rRNA from 1 species
AUGCACGCAUGGAAGUCGCCCGCUCCGUGUGAGUACCUUUCCUCAUCCUCCAAGCAGGCAGAGGUGGUAACUCAUGAUGUCUCACCAAUGUCAACACACUCGUCUCCACUCAUCUCGGCUCGUAAACCUCCUGGUUGGCAUAUACAGUUUUUCAUCAGAAUAGAUCUGGGGGGUUCUUACCACACGUAUCCUCAUCUGGGGGGGCCAUUCCGGAGCUUGGAGGAAACUGAAAAGGCUAUCAAAAGCCAUCUUGAUGGCCUGCGCUCUCCAAUAAUGUGCAGAGAUGGGCUAUCGUCGGCGGAGGUUGCAGUGCGACAUCGCCUUUACUGGCCUGAUGGCACAAGGAAGAAGUCGUUCGAAGGCAAUCCCGGGCGUAGGAAUAUGAACCUAUUGGUUCAAGCUUUACUGGAUAAAUACAAUGAAGACCACCAUCUUUUGGGGAAUCUUGCAUAUGAACUUGAUAAUGUUGUGUGCUCCCGACAAAUUUACGAGAAGGAGGGCGGCCUUAUUAACAAAUUCUAUCAUAUCAAUUUGACUGCAAAAACCAAAGGAGAUGAUGGUUUUCACGUCGACAAUCUAUUCUUUGGUGAAAUCACACGAAUAGAAGGCGAAAAUGAAGAAUACAUGCUCAAUUGUUUCUGUAUGGUUAAACCUAUUGACAAUGGCGGAUGCUCAGGUUGUACGAAGUACGGGGAGUAUGAUUUGAAGCACCCUGUUGAUGCUGAUAAAUACAAAGGUGGCCACUCUACCCCGGCCAUUCAAUGUCGUGGUAUCAAUCAUAUUCCUUUCUUGCAACCGGAUGUACCUGUAUACAUCCGGAAUAAGCAGGAUUGGUUGGAGUUUGAGAAGGCUAUGUUGGCGAAGGAGGAGGCUAAGAUAAGAUAUAUAUAUGAGUGCCCUGCUGAUUCUCCUAUUCAAGCAAAAGUGGAUGGUGCAAGAAUGCCUGCUGGUUUGGCCAAGGGACAAGAGGAUGCUGGUUUGGCCAAGGGACGAGAGAGUGCUGGUUUGGCCAAGAGAGGAGAGGGUGCUGAUUUGACCAAGAGAGGAGAGGAUGCUGGUUUGGCCAAGCGAGAGGAUCACCAGGGAAGCGUGAAGUACGUUGUACCUGCUAGGCGUGGGGUGUUGUUUUGA